UACGGAGGAUCCAAGCGUUAUCCGGAAUCAUUGGGUUUAAAGGGUCCGUAGGCGGUUAGUAAGUCAGUGGUGAAAGCCCAUCGCUCAACGGUGGAACGGCCAUUGAUACUGCUGAACUUUGAAUUAUUAGGAAGUAACUAGAAUAUGUAGUGUAGCGGUGAAAUGCUUAGAGAUUACAUGGAAUACCAAUUGCGAAGGCAGGUUACUACUAAUGGAUUGACGCUGAUGGACGAAAGCGUGGGUAGCGAACAGG
rnacentral:rRNA from 1 species